CCUACGGGGCGCAGCAGUGGGGAAUAUUGGACAAUGGGCGAAAGCCUGAUCCAGCCAUGCCGCGUGUGUGAAGAAGGCCUUCGGGUUGUAAAGCACUUUCAGUGGGGAAGAAAGCCUUGGGGCUAAUACCCUCGAGGAAGGACAUCACCCACAGAAGAAGCACCGGCUAACUCCGUGCCAGCAGCCGCGGUAAUACGGAGGGUGCGAGCGUUAAUCGGAAUUACUGGGCGUAAAGCGCGCGUAGGCGGUCUGAUAAGCCGGUUGUGAAAGCCCCGGGCUCAACCUGGGAACGGCAUCCGGAACUGUCAGGCUAGAGUGCAGGAGAGGAAGGUAGAAUUCCCGGUGUAGAGGUGAAAUGCGUAGAGAUCGGGAGGAAUACCAGUGGCGAAGGCGGCCUUCUGGACUGACACUGACGCUGAGGUGCGAAAGCGUGGGUAGCAAACAGGAUUAGAUACCCCAGUAGUC
rnacentral:rRNA from 1 species